CUCAGCUACCUCUAAGACGACCAGCCCUGUUAGGACACCUCCUACCACCAAGGCCUGGUUUGUUAAAGCACCAACUAGCCCUGCCUCAUUGAACACUAACCCCACCAACCCUGGCCCCGCUAUUUCCCUGAAAACUAUAGCCCCCACCAAAAUGGCUGCUAUCACUACUGCUCUUCCCUCUUCCCUACCGCCUGUCGGGGAGCAUUGUGUCAAGAAGCCCUUGUCCGGGUACCAACCUGAACAGGCUAAAUCAACCACACUGGCUAAAACCAGAACUAAACCAGAACGUCCGGCUGAUGUGAGCUCUGUUGAGGUCAUCAGGACGGUUGGACAGAGCAGCCUCAUGAUUGGCUGGGAGAGACCGCCCCUUGAUGAGCUGGGCUGCAGCAACGGAACGUUUGUGUAUGGAUACAGGGUCUAUGUAGAUGGGGAAUUCCACAAGUCUGUCAUGAGCUCUGCAUGCACCAAGUGUAUUCUGGAGAAUCUGGAUCUGUCCGGUCAGGUCCACAUCAGUGUCCAGACGCUGGGCUCCAAUGGCCUCUAUGCUGAGAAGGUCCACCUCAUCUACAAGGGAAACCAAGCCAAUUUUAGUACAGACCAGAACCCUUUCAUCAUUGACUAUAUCCAUGUCAAUACAGCUGCUGGUCACUGGACAGAUCCUCUUUCUCCAGACUGUAGGACUCCGCCCGCACAUCCACAUAGAAGCUUCACCCAACCAUUUGUAGCGAUCUACAACUACACCCCCCUUAGGGACAGCCCUAACCUCCGACCUGGCCGAGAGCUGGCCUUGACUGUGGGAGACACUGUCACGUUGCUAGGAAACCCCCGCAGCCAAGACUUCUGUGAGGCAGAGGUGAUUGACAGACAAGGAGUCCUGGAGGAAGUACCUGUUCCCUACCAACGUGUAAGCCCCGCCGCUCCCAAGUCUUCUCCCGAGAGAGGAGCAAAUGAAAGGCCACUGUGACUGCCAAUCAGACAGGUUAAGAUUAUAGCCGCUGUGACUGCCAAUCAGUGAGGACGACGUAACAGGCUACUAUGACUGCCAAUCAAAGUAUGCUUUCCUACAGAGAGCAAAAUGCUAUGACAUUCGCUAAUGCUAACCGCCCGUGACCUAACAUUCAUAAGUGUUCACCGCCCAAAGUCAUUUGAGUUGGAAGGCUAACCCUAAAUGCGGAAAGGGCAUAUAUGUGUGAGUAGGGCCAAGUUUGACACUCUGCUUAUUGUUUAGAUACUUCUAGCCUGCAUAACGCCCAUUGAGAUUGUCGAAUCACCACAGACUGUCCUUCAAAAUCCCCCCUGUUCUCAGUGUGACAGAACCAAGUCUAUCUACAAUCCUAACUGAAGUUGACUGUCUUUAUUACAUUUUGAUGUCCUUCUCUGAAAGCAUCUAAAAUGAAAUGGAGAAAACACGUUCUGUGUAGCACACUUUCCUUGUCCUUUCGCUGACUGUGAUGGUGC
ensembl:lncRNA